AGUAAGAAUUUGAAUUAUUUUCCUUUUCUGAAGUUAUUUUUAAUUCUCACUUUGGGGUUUUAUUCCAACGUACAUCUCUUCUCUGUUUAGACUGCACAGUAUAGUCAGAGGUAAGCUCUCUGUUUCAGAAAACAAACAGAUAAGAGAUGUUUUACACCCAUUAUAGAGGAGUGAAGAUGAAGCUGCGUGUGCAUUUCAUCCAUCUUCUCCAGUUACUAUCUCCCCUGUUUUAAGAGUGCAACAUUUAUGCAUGUAAUCAGUGAAAUAUCAGAACUCUAUGCUAGUUGUACAGAAAGUGUCACAAUGUAGAAAUCAGUCUAAAAUAGAUCCUCACCUGUUAUUUACAUUUGGCUGAAUUAAUCUAGUGAUAAUUUGGAACUUCUAUGUUGCAGAUGCAAAUAUUGGAGAAGACAUACUGCCUUCACUCUCCAGAGAUGACAUCAAAGAUCUGUUUCCUGGUCCUCAAAAUUUCCUCAGGCGUCGGGCUCUAUGGCUUGUGGUAAAUAAACAAGAGGAAGAGACUCAUGCUGAGAAAGUACCACCAUCAACCACUAGAGCCAGUGACCUCUCCCAAGAGGAGCCCAACACUUCGAAGUUUGUGACGAUAUCCAACCCAGAAUAUAUAGUCUUCACAGACAGUGAGCUUGAACAAGCACGGCGCUACUACUUUGAGCAGAAACGACUGGGGACAGACCACGUUGAGCCUUUAUCAAAGGACCUCUUCUGCCGACUCAUCAGAAACACAAUGACUAACAUGAUUUCAAUAGCAAGAGCCACUGAGGACUUCAGAUACCCCAGCAAACAUGAGGUGAAUGCUAUGGCGAAGCGAUUGGUGGAGUACUACCCGAUGAUAACAGGAAGGUGUGGUGAAUGGGAGCACGUUGCUAAAAAGCUCAUGAAGAGACUCUCAAAUGUCAAAAGUCCAAGAAAGGCUAAGGG